rnacentral:lncRNA from 1 species
UAUACCACCCCCUCCUCUAAUCAUCUCCCUCACAUUACCCUUCUCAGAGAACCAAACAAUAACCCUAAUCCUCCGCCCCAUUUUCCACCGCCUCAACCGGCGGCGCCACCUCCAAACCACCCCAAAUUAACACUGUAGAAUCCCCAUGGCUCCCUCUCCCCUAAUCUACAACCGGUUUCCCUCGAAUCUUUCCAGAACUUCUCGAAUCAUAAAUCUAAAGUUCGAGCCCAAAAAGCCCAAAGCCAAAUCUAUACAUGCAAGGUUGUUUCUCCAAUUUUUCUGAGUAUUCAGGGCUGGUGUUUAUCACAAAAUAAUGUUAUUCAUUUGUUCUUGACAAAGAACUAGCGAUUGACAUUAUUUGGGGGUUUAAAUCGGAAUAUCAAUCUCGAGUUCGAGUUUUGGUCGGUGAGUUUUCCUUCGUUCUUUGUUCAUUUUUUGUGUUAUUUCAACUUCCAUUCCUCUUCAUCUCUCCUUCUUUUUCUUUGGUUAAUUCAACUGAAACUCGACCAAAGUUUCUGGUCGAGAUUAAGUAAUAUCCUUUUGUUCCUUUUUAGUUUUCUUUUCCAAAUUUUGUUCCCUGAUUGUUCUUGGUCUGUUUAAUAUUUCUUGUUAACAGCAUGAUUAAACUUCUGAUUUCACCCGUUUGUUUAGCCAUUUAGUUUAACUUAAUUAGAUUUAUUUGAUAACUUAGUUUAAAUCUGCAUUAACCAGUCCUUUAGUUUAGGUUUUAGUUUUGUGAAAUAGUUUAGUUGUUUUCUUACUACUUGCCAUAAAAUACCCAAUUUAGUUUAAUUCAUUCUGUUAUUUGGGCUCUGAAUCCAUUUCAGACUUCACUCCAAGGGAUUUGAUUUAGGGUAUUGGGUCAGAAUUGAGCUCUUGUUUGGUUUAACCAUUGGGUCAAUUUGACCCAUGACCCAUGGGUUCCCGGGGUAAAUAACAUGAGUCCUAAAGGGUAGUUUAGGAAUUGUAGGUGGGGGGAAUCUUUGAGCAACUGAUUAGGAAGCUUUUAGGAAGGUGUCAGUGGGACUAGACUGAAAAUCUGAUUUUAAAAUUAAGGGUAUGUGAGCAAAAAUGAGAAUUCAAAAAGGUUUUAAGUGCAAAAACCGAUUCCUUUAGGCUGCCCUAGAAGCUUUCCUAUAAAGGAAUCAUUACUUGAGAUUCAAGGAGAAAUGAAAAAACUUGAGAAAAUAUCCUGAAAACUGAAAUGGCUGCUUUUUUUGAAAAAUUCUGAAAUAACCUUGAAUUCCUUGUAGUUCUUUGUGAAAACUAUUCAAAAUUCUGCUUGGUUUUUGGUUCUUCUGAUCCUCAUUGCUUAGUUUAAAACCACUGAAAAUUUCACAGUCUUGCACUUGGUUUAAAUGGAUUGAGUUGUGGAUAUUUAAAGUUUUUGUUUUAAACUUUGCUGUUGGAAACAUUGUUUCAUUGCUGGGUUUUAGCUGACUCUGCUGCUUCUUCUUUUGGUUGAGUUUCCUACUACUGUUCUCCUGCUGAAUCUUCACUUAUUUGUUUUCCUUUCUAUUUCCAGGUAUUUCUGUAAACUAUGGAGGGCUACUGACUAUAAACAUGCCUAUUCGAGUGGAAAUUUGAUUGAAUACGAAAUUGUUUUGAGCUUUGCUUCUUUUCUUCUUCUAUUUCUAUAGCCUUUCUGUAGUAAAUCCAAAGUUAUACGCAUUUUUUUCAGUUUUUCCCCUGCCCUUAAUAUGCUAUACAAAUGAAUGUGUGCUCUUUAAGAGUUUGGGUGUUGAUUAAUUCUCUAAAUUUUGUUACUUUUUGGUAUUGAAAAAGAGUUAGUUGGUUUAAAGUUUCAUGCUGUGUUUGUAAGUUUAGUUUAAGCAUGAAUAUUUGUCAGUUUGAAGUCAAGCAUGUAUUCUCAUGUAGUAUUCAUAGUUUUCCUGGUGUAUUAAUUAUUGG